AUUCCGGUGGCCUAGUGGUUAGAGCAUCCGCCUCGUAUGCAAGGGGUAGUGGGUUCGAUCCCCAGCUGUCAUA